rnacentral:rRNA from 1 species
CGGGAAAAGCUCAAAUUUAAAAUCUGGCAGUCUUUGGCUGUCCGAGUUGUAAUUUGUAGAUUGUAUCUUGAGAGCGGAUUAAAGUCUGUUGGAACACAGCGCCUUAGAGGGUGACAGCCCCGUAAAAUCUAUUCUCAUUGUAAGAUACUUUCGAA